rnacentral:RNase_P_RNA from 1 species
UGAGUCGGCCGGGUGGCCGCGGCACGGCCUGACCGUGUCGAGGAAAGUCGGGACUCCACAGGGCAGCGUGCUGGCGAGAGCCAGGUCGGGGCGACCUGACGGACAAGUGCAACAGAGAGAAGACCGCCGAUGGGCCGGCAUGCCGGUCACAGGUGAGGGUGCAACGGUGCGGUAAGAGCGCACCAGCGGGCGGGGCGACCCGUUCGGCUCGGCAAACCCCACGCGGAGCAAGGCCAAGCAGGGCGUAUGGGCUGCCCGCCCGCCGGUUCACGCCGGCAGCGUCCGGGUAGGCCGCACAGAGGGAUGGUCACCGGCCCGGUUCGCCGGGUCACAGAAUCCCGCUUACAGGCCGACUCACCGU